AAAUAAAAAGGAAUCCUUACAGGUAUGUGAAAGGGAAAAAAAGCAGAGAAGGAAAUUGAGAGGAUGAAGGGAAAAUACGAUGAAACAUCUGCGACAUCAUUUUUCUUGCUGAAGGUCUCUGAUGGACUAGAGGCGCCAGAGUUCUGCCCCCUCCCCUCAGGAGUUCUGGGACUCAGGAGUGUUGGAGGACCAACUAUGCAAGGAUGGCAUAUCCCACAGUGAUCUGGGACCUCAAACAUCAAUCAUCUAUCAUUAAUCAAGAAAAUGUCCUACUGGGACUUACCAUUCUACACUGGACAACAAAUAAGGGGUGCAAGUGGUUUCAUCUCUGCGAGAGGCUAGUUUUUCUCUUACAGAAGUUCCCCCACUAGAAAAUCGACCACAGGCAAUUAAGGAAUGCUGGGAAAUGAGAAUUAACCUCUUACAGCAAUGAGAUUCCUUAUUGGAAUCAUUUUCUCAAUUGAUGCUCCUUCAUUCCAGAUGACCAUACCUUUCGUCAAAUUGAAAAAGAAA